rnacentral:rRNA from 1 species
CCUACGGGCGGCUGCAGUGGGGAAUAUUGGGCAAUGGACGCAAGCCUGACCCAGCAACGCCGCGUGAAGGAAGAAGGCUUUCGGGUUGGAAACUUCUUUUCUCAGGGAGGCAGAAAGUGACGGUACCUGAGGAAUAAGCCACGGCUAACUACGUGCAAGCGGCCGCGGUAAUACGUAGGUGGCAAGCGUUCUCCGGAUUUAUUGGGUUUAAAGGGGGUGUAGGCGGGCGCGCAAGUCAGAUGUGAAAACUCAGGGCUCAACCCUGAGCCUGCAUUUGAAACUGUGUUUCUUGAGGGCUGGAGAGGCAAUCGGAAUUCCGGGUGGAGCGGUGAAAUGCGUAGAUAUACGGAGGAACACCAGUGGCGAAGGCGGAUUGCUGGACAGUAACUGACGCUGAGGCGCGAAAGCGUGGGGAGCAAACAGGAUUAGAUACCCGUGUAGUC